rnacentral:rRNA from 1 species
GACGACGCGUGGCGGCGUGCUUAACACAUGCAAGUCGAACGGCAGCGCGUCCUUCGGGAUGGCGGCGAGUGGCGAACGGGUGAGUAAAGCAUCGGAACGUGCCCGGUAGUGCGGGAUAGCUCGGCGAAAGCCGGAUUAAUACCGCAUGAGAUCUGCGGAUGAAAGCAGGGGACCCGAAAGGGCCUUGCGCUACUGGAGCGGCCGAUGUCAGAUUAGGUAGUUGGUGAGGUAAAGGCUCACCAAGCCUGCGAUCUGUAGCUGGUCUGAGAGGAUGAUCAGCCACAUCGGGACUGAGACACGGCCCGAACUCCUACGGGAGGCAGCAGUGGGGAAUUUUGGACAAUGGGCGCAAGCCUGAUCCAGCCAUGCCGCGUGCAGGAUGAAGGCCUUCGGGUUGUAAACUGCUUUUGUACGGAACGAAAAGGCUCUUUCUAAUAAAGGGAGUUGAUGACGGUACCGUAAGAAUAAGCACCGGCUAACUACGUG